UUCUUAACCUAGUGGCGGACGGGUGAGUAACGCGUGAGCAAUCUGCCUUUAAGAGGGGGAUAACAGUCGGAAACGGCUGCUAAUACCGCAUAAAGCAUUGAAUUCGCAUGUUUUCGAUGCCAAAGGAGCAAUCCGCUUUUAGAUGAGCUCGCGUCUGAUUAGCUAGUUGGCGGGGUAACGGCCCACCAAGGCGACGAUUGGUAGCCGGACUGAGAGGUUGAACGGCCACAUUGGGACUGAGACACGGCCCAGACUCCUACGGGAGGCAGCAGUGGGGGAUAUUGCACAAUGGGGGAAACCCUGAUGCAGCGACGCCGCGUGGAGGAAGAAGGUUUUCGGAUUGUAAACUCCUGUCGUUAGGGACGAUAAUGACGGUACCUAACAAGAAAGCACCGGCUAACUACGUGCCAGCAGCCGCGGUAAAACGUAGGGUGCAAGCGUUGUCCGGAAUUACUGGGUGUAAAGGGAGCGCAGGCGGACCGGCAAGUUGGAAGUGAAAACUAUGGGCUCAACCCAUAAAUUGCUUUCAAAACUGCUGGCCUUGAGUAGUGCAGAGGUAGGCGGAAUUCCCGGUGUAGCGGUGGAAUGCGUAGAUAUCGGGAGGAACACCAGUGGCGAAGGCGGCCUACUGGGCACCAACUGACGCUGAGGCUCGAAAGUGUGGGUAGCAAACAGGAUUAGAUACCCUGGUAGUCCACACCGUAAACGAUGAUUACUAGGUGUUGGGAGAUUGACCCUCUCAGUGCCGCAGUUAACACAAUAAGUAAUCCACCUGGGGAGUACGACCGCAAGGUUGAAACUCAAAGGAAUUGACGGGGGCCCGCACAAGCAGUGGAGUAUGUGGUUUAAUUCGACGCAACGCGAAGAACCUUACCAAGUCUUGACAUCCCUUGACGAUGCUGGAAACAGCAUUUCUCUUCGGAGCAAGGAGACAGGUGGUGCAUGGUUGUCGUCAGCUCGUGUCGUGAGAUGUUGGGUUAAGUCCCGCAACGAGCGCAACCCUUAUGGUCAGUUACUACGCAAGAGGACUCUGGCCAGACUGCCGUUGACAAAACGGAGGAAGGUGGGGAUGACGUCAAAUCAUCAUGCCCUUUAUGACUUGGGCUACACACGUACUACAAUGGCGUUAAACAAAGAGAAGCAAGACCGCGAGGUGGAGCAAAACUCAGAAACAACGUCCCAGUUCGGACUGCAGGCUGCAACUCG
rnacentral:rRNA from 1 species